rnacentral:rRNA from 1 species
UACGAAGGGGGGCUAGCGUUGCUCGGAAUCACUGGGCGUAAAGGGCGCGUAGGCGGGCUUUUAAGUCAGGGGUGAAAUCCUGGAGCUCAACUCCAGAACUGCCUUUGAUACUGAAGAUCUUGAGUUCGGGAGAGGUGAGUGGAACUGCGAGUGUAGAGGUGAAAUUCGUAGAUAUUCGCAAGAACACCAGUGGCGAAGGCGGCUCACUGGCCCGAUACUGACGCUGAGGCACGAAAGCGUGGGGAGCAAACAGGG